rnacentral:misc_RNA from 1 species
UUGCUAAUUAAAUCAGCCAGUAAACUUAUUUUAUGAAAGAUAAAAACAAUGCAAAGGCAAAUGUGAAUGAAAUCCCUAAAUUUCUGAAUUUGUCAAAUUACAUCAAAUCAGGAAAUGGUGAGCACUGAAACAUGGGUUCCGAAAACUGAUACAAAAAGGAAGAUGGUUAUCUGAAACCUACGAUUUGCCAAAGGUAUGAGACUGUUUCUUCCAAAGAGAAAAAAGGGUACUUAAAAAUCUUUCGUUGUCAUCAUCAGCCGGGCCUUUGUGGCCAGGACCAGUUCUCCUACGCAAUAACAUGUUGUGAAUGUUAAGCAACACACCGCCAUUAGCAAUGG